UACGUAGGGUGCAAGCGUUAAUCGGAAUUACUGGGCGUAAAGCGUGCGCAGGCGGCUUUGCAAGACAGAUGUGAAAUCCCCGGGCUCAACCUGGGAACUGCAUUUGUGACUGCAUGGCUAGAGUACGGUAGAGGGGGAUGGAAUUCCACGUGUAGCAGUGAAAUGCGUAGAUAUGCGGAGGAACACCGAUGGCGAAGGCAAUCCCCUGGACCUGUACUGACGCUCAUGCACGAAAGCGUGGGGAGCAAACAGG
rnacentral:rRNA from 1 species